UUCAGUGUCUGUGUUACUAGUCUCCACGGGAGUUCAACAACAAGAUUUCAAGGACUUCUUAACUAUGUGAAAAUAGAGAAGACUGACUCGUCAUACUGAAAUGGGUUCUUUAGAACCCAAGAAGUGCACACUUAGGCUAUUGCCUACAAUCAAUUAUUCUGCUGCUGGAGCUGUGUUGCUGAAGAGAAGACGAUCCCUUCUUCCCAGAGGAGACCAUGCUUUCCCAUAUCGCAACAGGCAAGGAAUUGUCACUGGUCAACACUGAACCUCCUAUAAGCAUGAUGAGGGCAACUUUUGAGCAGCAUCAUCCAGCCUGCCUGUUCUGGGCCACUGCAACACCUGCCUCCCACCUUGACAAGCCCCGCAUCAGGCAGGCAUCGUUCUAAUUUGGUCUUGCAAGUUGUUACACAGAACAUCCUUCAAGAGUGACGCCUGAAACAACCAGUUGCCUUUUUGUCUCGCAAAAAGGCUUUGCUCUCAUCUCAGCUUAGAAUGUCCAUUCAUCACGAUGAGAAGGGCUGGACCGGCCCAGACCUCCAGAAUGUGCAAUGAGCUUUGUGAGCAAUUACCAGUUUCUCCAAGGACUCUGUAGGAUGAGGGUGAAGUGAAUGUCAUCAGAACGGCAGCACUGUGGUCUAAAAGCUGCAUUGUGUCAUAGAUGAACACAAUGAAAUGCUUAAUUUAGUUUAAAAUUAUUCUUUUGUGUCCCUGGCCAUGCCUCAACCACAUACCCCUCAAUAUGUAAACAGCGAUAGAUUUAUUUAUUUCUUUUAUUUCUGAGAA